CGAUAAAGCGGGUGAAAAGCCCGCUCGCCGGAAGACCAAGGGUUCCUGUCCAACGUUAAUCGGGGCAGGGUGAGUCGACCCCUAAGGCGAGGCCGAAAGGCGUAGUCGAUGGGAAACAGGUUAAUAUUCCUGUACUUGGUGUUACUGCGAAGGGGGGACGGAGAAGGCUAUGUUGGCCGGGCGACGGUUGUCCCGGUUUAAGCGUGUAGGCUGGUUUUCCAGGCAAAUCCGGAAAACUAAGGCUGAGGCGUGAUGACGAGGCACUACGGUGCUGAAGCAACAAAUGCCCUGCUUCCAGGAAAAGCCUCUAAGCAUCAGGUAACAUCAAAUCGUACCCCAAACCGACACAGGUGGUCAGGUAGAGAAUACCAAGGCGCUUGAGAGAACUCGGGUGAAGGAACUAGGCAAAAUGGUGCCGUAACUUCGGGAGAAGGCACGCUGAUAUGUAGGUGAAGUCCCUCGCGGAUGGAGCUGAAAUCAGUCGAAGAUACCAGCUGGCUGCAACUGUUUAUUAAAAACACAGCACUGUGCAAACACGAAAGUGGACGUAUACGGUGUGACGCCUGCCCGGUGCCGGAAGGUUAAUUGAUGGGGUCAGCGCAAGCGAAGCUCUUGAUCGAAGCCCCGGUAAACGGCGGCCGUAACUAUAACGGUCCUAAGGUAGCGAAAUUCCUUGUCGGGUAAGUUCCGACCUGCACGAAUGGCGUAAUGAUGGCCAGGCUGUCUCCACCCGAGACUCAGUGAAAUUGAACUCGCUGUGAAGAUGCAGUGUACCCGCGGCAAGACGGAAAGACCCCGUGAACCUUUACUAUAGCUUGACACUGAACAUUGAGCCUUGAUGUGUAGGAUAGGUGGGAGGCUUUGAAGUGUGGACGCCAGUCUGCAUGGAGCCGACCUUGAAAUACCACCCUUUAAUGUUUGAUGUUCUAACGUUGACCCGUAAUCCGGGUUGCGGACAGUGUCUGGUGGGUAGUUUGACUGGGGCGGUCUCCUCCUAAAGAGUAACGGAGGAGCACGAAGGUUGGCUAAUCCUGGUCGGACAUCAGGAGGUUAGUGCAAUGGCAUAAGCCAGCUUGACUGCGAGCGUGACGGCGCGAGCAGGUGCGAAAGCAGGUCAUAGUGAUCCGGUGGUUCUGAAUGGAAGGGCCAUCGCUCAACGGAUAAAAGGUACUCCGGGGAUAACAGGCUGAUACCGCCCAAGAGUUCAUAUCGACGGCGGUGUUUGGCACCUCGAUGUCGGCUCAUCACAUCCUGGGGCUGAAGUAGGUCCCAAGGGUAUGGCUGUUCGCCAUUUAAAGUGGUACGCGAGCUGGGUUUAGAACGUCGUGAGACAGUUCGGUCCCUAUCUGCCGUGGGCGCUGGAGAACUGAGGGGGGCUGCUCCUAGUACGAGAGGACCGGAGUGGACGCAUCACUGGUGUUCGGGUUGUCAUGCCAAUGGCACUGCCCGGUAGCUAAAUGCGGAAGAGAUAAGUGCUGAAAGCAUCUAAGCACGAAACUUGCCCCGAGAUGAGUUCUCCCUGACUCCUUGAGAGUCCUGAAGGAACGUUGAAG
rnacentral:rRNA from 1 species